CCUACGGGCGGCAGCAGUGAGGAAUAUUGGUCAAUGGGCGUAAGCCUGAACCAGCCAAGUCGCGUGAGGGAAUAAUGCCCUACGGGUCGUAAACCUCUUUUGCCAGGGAGCAAGGGCCGGGACGUGUCCCGGCCCGGAGAGUACCCGGAGAAAAAGCAUCGGCUAACUCCGUGCCAGCAGCCGCGGUAAUACGGAGGAUGCGAGCGUUAUCCGGAUUUAUUGGGUUUAAAGGGUGCGUAGGCGGGAUGCUAAGUCAGCGGUAAAAUUUCGGGGCUCAACCCCGUCCGGCCGUUGAAACUGGGGGCCGUGAGUGGGCGAGAAGAAGGCGGAAUGCGUGGUGUAGCGGUGAAAUGCAUAGAUAUCACGCAGAACCCCGAUUGCGAAGGCAGUCUUCCGGCGCCCUACUGACGCUGAGGCACGAAAGUGCGGGGAUCGAACAGGAUUAGAUACCCUAGUAGUC
rnacentral:rRNA from 1 species